rnacentral:rRNA from 1 species
AUUGAACGCUGGCGGCAUGCCUUACACAUGCAAGUCGAACGGCAGCAUGGAAGAGCUUGCUCUUCUGAUGGCGAGUGGCGAACGGGUGAGUAAAGCAUCGGAACGUACCGUGUAGUGGGGGAUAACGUAGCGAAAGUUACGCUAAUACCGCAUACGCACUGAGGUGGAAAGCAGGGGAUCGCAAGACCUUGCGCUAUACGAGCGGCCGAUGUCAGAUUAGCGAGUUGGUAGGGUAAAGGCCUACCAAGGCGACGAUCUGUAGCGGGUCGGAGAGGAUGAUCCGCCACACUGGGACUGAGACACGGCCCAGACUCCUACGGGAGGCAGCAGUGGGGAAUUUUGGACAAUGGGGGAAACCCUGAUCCAGCCAUGCCGCGUGAGUGAAGAAGGCCUUCGGGUUGUAAAGCUCUUUCGGCUGGGAAGAAAUCGCACAGGCUAAUACUCUGUGUGGAUGACGGUACCAGCACAAGAAGCACCGGCUAACUACGUGCCAGCAGCCGCAGUAA